rnacentral:rRNA from 1 species
UACGUAGGGUGCAAGCGUUAAUCGGAAUUACUGGGCGUAAAGCGUGCGCAGGCGGUGAUGUAAGACAGGUGUGAAAUCCCCGGGCUUAACCUGGGAACUGCGCUUGUGACUGCAAGACUCGAGUACGGCAGAGGGGGGUGGAAUUCCACGUGUAGCAGUGAAAUGCGUAGAGAUGUGGAGGAACACCGAUGGCGAAGGCAGCCCCCUGGGUCGAUACUGACGCUCAUGCACGAAAGCGUGGGGAGCAAACAGG